GGGGGGAAAAAUUAAUAAAUUUAAUAAUAAUAAAAAGAUUUUUAAAUAUAAGAUAUUUUAAUGGGGGUUAAAGUAUAUUAAAUAGAAAAAAUUGAAAAUUUUAUAGUGGAUAAGUAUUGUGAAAGAAUUUUGAAAUAAAUUAAAUAAUAAAUUAUUUUAAAGUAAUUUUAAUUUAAUGUAUCUUGUGUAUCAGAGUUUAUUAAAAAAUAUUUUUAGUAAAAAAGUUCUCGAAUUUAAAAGAGAUAAUUAAUUAAUAAAAUUAUUGUAGCAAAAAUAUUUUAAAUAAUUAAUUGGAAAUGAAAUGUUAAUCGUUUUUAAAUAUAUCUAGUUUUUAUAGAAAAAAAUUUAAUUUUAAAUUUAUAAUAUUAAUAAAUUUAUUAAUAAAUUUAUUAAUAUUAUAAAUUUUAUAUUUUAAGGGAUAAGCUUUAAAUUAAAUUUGUAUAAGAAAAAUUUUAAUUUUAAAAUUUUUAUAAUUUAUAUUGUUAAUAAAAUUUAAUUUAUUAUAAAUAAUUUUAAAUUAAAUAAAAUUUAAAUUUUAAUUACUUUUUUAUAUAAAAAUAAAUUUAUAAUAAUAAUAUAAUUAAAUAUAAUGAUAAAAUUAGUAUAUUUUUUAAAUAAAAAAUAUUGAAAAAAUAUAAUUAAAUAUUGAAUUUAAAUUAAAGGAAUUCGGCAAAAAUAUAUAUUCACUUGUUUAUCAAAAACAUGUCUUUUUGAAAUAAUUUAAAGUCUAAUCUGCCCACUGAUUUAUUAAAGGGCUGCAGUAUUUUGACUGUACAAAGGUAGCAUAAUCAUUAGUCAUUUAAUUGAUGACUUGUAUGAAAGAUUGGAUGAAAUAUAAACUGUCUAAAAUUUAUACAUGUAGAAUUUAAUUUUUUAGUUAAAAAGCUAAAAUAUUAUAAAAAGACGAGAAGACCCUAUAGAGUUUUAUAUUUUAAUAAAUUAAGAUUAUUUAUAAAUUUAAUUAAUAAAUUUAAGAGUUUAUUAAAUUAAAAAAAAUUAAAAUAUUUUAUUGGGGGGAGAAAAAAAAAUAAAUAACUUUUUUUUUUAUAAAUAACACAAAUAAAUGAAUAAUUGAUCCCCUUUUUAUGAUUAAAAGAAUAAAUUACCCUUGGGAUAACAGCGUAAUUUUUUUUUUUAGUUCAAAUAAAAAAAAGAGUGUGCGACCUCGAUGUUGGAUUAAGAUAAAAUUUAAAUGCACAAGUUUAAAAUUUUGAUCUGUGCGGUCACUAAAAUCUCACAUGAUCUGAGUUCAAACCGGUGUAAGCCAGGUUGGUUUCUAUCUUUUAAAAAUUUAAAUAUUUUAGUACGAAAGGAUCAAAUAUUUUAAUUAAAUUAUAAUUGAUGUGAAUUUUAUUAAAAUUUUAUAAAAUUUUUUAUUUUGUUAAGUUUUAUGUAGUUAAAUUUUAUAAUAAAAAUUAUUUAAAUAUAUAUAUAUAUAUAUAUAUAUAUAUAAUUUUAAUUAAUAAUAAUAAAUAAAUUUA
rnacentral:rRNA from 1 species